UCCUGGUGGCUCAGAUGGUAAAGAGUCUGCCUGCAGUGCAGGAGACUCAGGUUCGAUCCCUGGGUCGGGAA
rnacentral:tRNA from 1 species